rnacentral:rRNA from 1 species
UCCUGUUUGAUCCUGCCGGGGGCCACUGCUAUCGGUGUUCGACUAAGCCAUGCGAGUCAAAUGUUCUUCGUGAACAUGGCGUACUGCUCAGUAACACGUGGAUAACCUGCCCUUAGGUUCGGCAUAACCCCGGGAAACUGGGGAUAAUUCCGGAUAGAUCAUAGAUGCUGGAAAGCGCUGUGGUCCAAAGCUAUUGCGCCUAAGGAUGGGUCUGCGGUCUAUCAGGUCGUAGUGGGUGUAAUGUACCUACUAGCCUACGACGGAUACGGGUUGUGGGAGCAAGAGCCCGGAGAUGGAUUCUGAGACAUGAAUCCAGGCCCUACGGGGCGCAGCAGGCGCGAAAACUUACAAUGCGGGGAACCGCGAUAGGGGACACCGAGUGCCAGCAUCCUAUGUUGGCUGUCAUAUGUCUAAUCGCAUAUGUAGCAA